GUAGGUGAACCUGCGGAAGGAUCAUUAGUGAUACUUUGAUGCUGGUACUUGCAAAGGCGUAAAAGCCCGAGUGAUGCUAGUAAAUCAAUUCUACCUUUGUGAACCGUUCCUCUUGAUGGAGGCAUUUGAUUUCCUCUUCCAUUUUUGGAUGGGGAAUGUCAUGCUUCUAACAAGUUUUUUUAUUAUUAUUCAACCUUUUGUAAACUUUUGUUAUACUAUGAAUAAAUCAAAGUGAUUGUACUUGUUGCAU
rnacentral:misc_RNA from 1 species